rnacentral:lncRNA from 1 species
AUGCACCAGCCUGGGACGAUGUGGGGCUCAUGGGGGGCGGUGUGGCUGCUGUCCCCAUUGCCUCCGAGCUCCGAGCGAACGGUGACGGCACUUGUGCAGGGCCUCGAGCUCCCGAGGGACGUCUCUGCUGUCGCUCUGUGCCCGUGCCAGGCCCUGCAGGGGCGAAGGGAGAGCCUCCGGGUGGGGACACCGUGCAUUGGGGUGCGCCAUGGCCGGCUCCCCGGGGCCGCUGCUGCGUGCGGUCCCCGUCCCAAGCCCGGUCAAGUCACAGGCACAGCACGGGACAAAAACAGGAACCGCGGAGCAGCUCUUGCGGGAAGAUGCGCGGUGCCAAGGGAAGUGAAUCAGCCUUUACGCGGCCCCUGGGAACGUGCAGGGGGGGGGCACGAGGUCGAAGAGAAGAGAUUUAAAGGAGGUGGCUCUGCCGGCUGCUCCGGGGGAACCCCGGCCCCAAAAGAAGGGGGGUCUCCGGGGAAGAAAGGGGGUCUCCAGAGAAGAAGGGAGUGCUGCCGGCCGGGGAACAGCGUGCCCCGGGCUGGGGCGGCGGGGCCGGGGGGUGCCCGCACCCACCCGCACACCAGCGGUACGGGGGGCUGGGGGCUGCCCCCACCCACGGGUGCCAAGCGCGGACCCUCUGCACAACCGGGCUGGCCGCCGGGCACGGCACGGCUGGGCACGGCUGGGCACGGCUGGACCCGGCGGCAGCCUCACCUGCAUGGCGGCGGUGCAGAGCGGAGCCCGUCCUGUCCCGGUUCAGCCUGUCCCCGUUUAGCCUCUCCCGUCCCGGCCCGGCUCGGCUCAGCCCGGCGCGGCUGCGUGACGCGCGGCGCGGAGCGCUCCGGGAGUUGUAGUGCCCUGCCCGGCCGUGCCCUGUCCAGCCGUGCCCGGCCGUGCUGUGCCGAGCAGUGCCCAGCCGUGCCGUGCCCAGCCGUGCCGUGCCCAGCCGAGCCUUAUCCAGCCGUGCCCAGCCGUGCCCUGUCCAGCCGUGCCCAGCCGUGCCUUGUCCAGCCGUGCCCAGCCGUGCCUUGUCCAGCCGUGCCCAGCCGUGCCUUGUCCAGCCGUGCCGUGCCCAGCCGUGCCGUGCCCAGCCGUGCCGUGCCCAGCCGUGCCGUGCCCAGCCGUGCCCUGUCCAGCCGUGCCCAGCCGUGCCUUGUCCAGCCGUGCCCAGCCGUGCCCAGCCGUGCUGUGCCGAGCCGUGCCCAGCCGAGCCGUGCCGUGCCACCGGCUGUAUUUUUCUUUACGGGCAAAGAGCUGGCACUGGAGUUUUCAGGCUGCAUUCGCUGCUUGAAAUAA